UACGUAGGGUGCAAGCGUUUGUCCGGAAUUAUUGGGCGUAAAGAGCUCGUAGGCGGUCUGUUGCGUCGGCUGUGAAAACCCGGGGCUCAACUCCGGGCCUGCAGCCGAUACGGGCAGACUAGAGUUCGGCAGGGGAGACUGGAAUUCCUGGUGUAGCGGUGAAAUGCGCAGAUAUCAGGAGGAACACCGGUGGCGAAGGCGGGUCUCUGGGCCGAUACUGACGUGAGGAGCGAAAGCGUGGGGAGCGAACAGG
rnacentral:rRNA from 1 species